rnacentral:rRNA from 1 species
AGCGAACGCUGGCGGCAGGCCUAACACAUGCAAGUCGAGCGAGAAAAUUCCUUCGGGAAUGAUUAAAGCGGCGGACGGGUGCGUACAACAUGGAUAACCUACCUUAAGGUCUGGGAUAACCUCGGGAAACCGAAGCUAAUACCGGAUAAGACCACAUUAUCUGCGGAUAAAGGGGUAAAAGUUUUUCGCCUUUUGAUGGGUCCAUGCUCCAUCAGGUUGUUGGUGAGGUAAAAGCUCACCAAGCCGAAGACGGAUAGCCGGCCUUAGCGGGUGAUCGGCCACAUGGGGACUGAGACACGGCCCCGACUCCUACGGGAGGCAGCAGUGGGGAAUAUUGGGCAAUGGGCGAAAGCCUGACCCAGCCAUGCCGCGUGAAGGAUGAAGGCCUUCGGGUCGUAAACUUCUGUCAGUAGGGACGAUGGGACUUCGGUCUUGACGGUACCUACAGAGGAAGCCCCGGCUAACUCCG